rnacentral:rRNA from 1 species
CCUACGGGCGGCAGCAGUGGGGGAUAUUGCACAAUGGGGGGAACCCUGAUGCAGCGACGCCGCGUGUGGGAAGACGGUCCUCUGGAUUGUAAACCACUGUCCCCAGGGACGAAAAUGACGGUACCUGGGGAGGAAGCUCCGGCUAAAUACGUGCCAGCAGCCGCGGUAAUCCGUAGGGAGCGAGCGUUGACCGGAAUUACUGGGUGUAAAGGGAGGGUAGGCGGGGAUGCAAGUUGGGUGUAAAAACUACCGGCUCAACUGGUAGUCGCACUCAAAACUGCAGCUCUUGAGUGAAGUAGAGGCAGGCGGAAUUCCUAGUGUAGCGGUGAAAUGCGUAGAUAUUAGGAGGAACACCAGUGGCGAAGGCGGCCUGCUGGGCUUUUACUGACGCUGAGGCUCGAAAGUGUGGGGAGCAAACAGGAUUAGAUACCCGUGUAGUC